rnacentral:rRNA from 1 species
ACGGGUGCGCAAUAUAUAGGAACAUACCCUUUGGUGGGGGAUAACGCCGGGAAACUGGUGCUAAUACCGCAUAAGCCCGAGAGGGGAAAGAUUUAUUGCCAGAGGAAUGGCCUAUAUCAGAUUAGAUAGUUGGUGAGGUAAAGGCUCACCAAGUCUGUGAUCUGUAGCUGAUCUGAGAGGAUGAUCAGCCACACUGGGACUGAGACACGGCCCAGACUCCUACGGGAGGCAGCAGUGGGGAAUAUUGGACAAUGGGGGAAACCCUGAUCCAGCAAUGCCGCGUGUAUGAUGAAGGUCUUCGGAUUGUAAAGUACUUUUAUUGGUGACGAUGAUGACGGUAACCAAUGAAUAAGCUCCGGCUAACUUCGUGCCAGCAGCCGCGGUAAUACGAAGGGAGCUAGCGUUGUUCGGAAUAACUGGGCGUAAAGGGUGCGUAGGUGGGUGUGUGCGUUAGAUGUGAAAUCCCCGGGCUUAACCUGGGAACUGCAUUUAAUACGGCACAUCUAGAGUGCGAGAGGGGAAAGCGGAAUGGCGAGUGGAGCAGUGAAAUGCAUUGA